AGAUUGAACGCUGGCGGCAGGCCUAACACAUGCAAGUCGAGCGGUAGAGAGGUGCUUGCACCUCUUGAGAGCGGCGGACGGGUGAGUAAUGCCUAGGAAUCUGCCUAGUGGUGGGGGAUAACGUUCGGAAACGGACGCUAAUACCGCAUACGUCCUACGGGAGAAAGCGGGGGACCUUCGGGCCUCGCGCCAUUAGAUGAGCCUAGGUCGGAUUAGCUAGUUGGUGAGGUAAUGGCUCACCAAGGCGACGAUCCGUAACUGGUCUGAGAGGAUGAUCAGUCACACUGGAACUGAGACACGGUCCAGACUCCUACGGGAGGCAGCAGUGGGGAAUAUUGGACAAUGGGCGAAAGCCUGAUCCAGCCAUACCGCGUGUGUGAAAGAAGGUCUUCGGAUUGAAAGCAACUUUAAGUUGGAAGGAAGGGUUGUAACUUAAUACGUUGCAACUUUGACGUUACGACAGAAUAAGCACCGGCUAACUUCGUGCCAGCAGCCG
rnacentral:rRNA from 1 species